UCCAGACUCCUACGGGAGGCAGCAGUGGGGAAUAUUGCACAAUGGGGGAAACCCUGAUGCAGCAACGCCGCGUGAAGGAAGACGGUUUUCGGAUUGUAAACUUCUAUCAAUAGGGAAGAAAGAAAUGACGGUACCUAAAUAAGAAGCCCCGGCUAACUACGUGCCAGCAGCCGCGGUAAUACGUAGGGGGCAAGCGUUAUCCGGAAUUACUGGGUGUAAAGGGAGAGUAGGCGGCGGUGCAAGCCAGAUGUGAAAGCCCGGGGCUCAACCCCGGGACUGCAUUUGGAACUGUGCUGCUAGAGUGUCGGAGAGGCAGGCGGAAUUCCUAGUGUAGCGGUGAAAUGCGUAGAUAUUAGGAGGAACACCAGUGGCGAAGGCGGCCUGCUGGACGAUGACUGACGUUGAGGCUCGAAAGCGUGGGGAGCAAACAGGAGUAGAUACCCCAGUA
rnacentral:rRNA from 1 species